rnacentral:rRNA from 1 species
GACGAACGCUGGCGGCGUGCUUAACACAUGCAAGUCGAACGGAAAGGCCCUGCUUUUGUGGGGUGCUCGAGUGGCGAACGGGUGAGUAACACGUGAGUAACCUGCCCUUGACUUCGGGAUAACUUCAGGAAACUGGGGCUAAUACCGGAUAGGAGCUCCUGCUGCAUGGUGGGGGUUGGAAAGUUUCGGCGGUUGGGGAUGGACUCGCGGCUUAUCAGCUUGUUGGUGGGGUAGUGGCUUACCAAGGCUUUGACGGGUAGCCGGCCUGAGAGGGUGACCGGCCACAUGGGGGCGGAGGGAGGGCCGAGCCGCCGAGGGGGGGCAGAGGGGGGGAGUUUGGCACAAGGGGGGGGAGCGUGAGGCAGCAGCGCCGGGUGGGGGAGGGCGGCCUGCGGGUGGGAACCGGUUUGCGCCGGGGAGGAGGGGGGGGGGAGGGUAAGGGGUAAAGAAGCACCGGCAAACUAGGUG